UACGGGGGGAGCAAGCGUUGUUCGGAUUUACUGGGCGUAAAGAGCGCGCAGGCGGUCGUUCAAGUCGCGUGUGAAAGCCCCCGGCUCAACUGGGGAACUGCACAGGAAACUAGCGGGCUUGAGUUCGGGAGAGGGAAGCGGAAUUCCAGGUGUAGUGGUGAAAUGCGUAGAUAUUCGCAAGAACACCAGUGGCGAAGGCGGACUCACUGGCCCGAUACUGACGCUGAGGCACGAAAGCGUGGGGAGCAAACAG
rnacentral:rRNA from 1 species